rnacentral:misc_RNA from 1 species
CGAAAUGCGAUAAGUAAUGUGAAUUGCAGAAUUCAGUGAAUCAUCGAAUCUUUGAACGCACAUUGCGCCCGCCAGCACUCUGGCGGGCAUGCCUGUUCGAGCGUCAUUUCAACCCUCAGAACCCCUUGCGGGAUCUGGCGUUGGGGAUUGGCAUCCAGCCAGCCCCGAAAUCUAGUGGCGGUCCCUCCGCGACCUCCCCUGUGCAGUAGCGAUACCUCGCAGCGGGACAGCGGUCUGACCACGCCGUAAAACCCCCAACUUCUCAAGGUUGACCUCGAAUCAGGUAGGAAUACCCGCUGAACAUAAGC